rnacentral:rRNA from 1 species
AGAGUUUGAUCCUGGCUCAGGAUGAACGCUGGCGGCGUGCUUAACACAUGCAAGUCGAACGGACCCAUAUUGAAACCUAGUGAUAUAUGGGUUAGUGGCGGACGGGUGAGUAACGCGUGGGCAACCUGCCUUACACAGGGGAUAACACUUAGAAAUAGGUGCUAAAACCGCAUAAGCGCACGGCUUCGCAUGAAGCGGUGUGAAAAACUCCGGUGGUGUAAGAUGGACCCGCGUCUGAUUAGCUUGUUGGCGGGGUAACGGGCCCGACCCAAGGCGACGAUCAGUAGCCGGCCUCGAGAGGGCGGACGGCCACAUUGGGACUGAGACACGGCCCAGACUCCUACGGGAGGCAGCAGUGGGGAAUAUUGCACAAUGGGGGAAACCCUGAUGCAGCGACGCCGCGUGAGUGAAGAAGUAAUUCGUUACGUAAAGCUCUAUCAGCAGGGAAGAAAAUGACGGUACCUGAGUAAGAAGCCCCGGCUAACUACGUG